UUUACUCAUUGAUAGGUACUUCGGAAAAUUCAAGAUCAAAGACUCAACUGAAAUAAUAACUGUGACAAUCUUUGAGGAACUUGAAACACUUAUAGGAUGUUCAACAAUUGAAUAUGCAAGAUCAUCAGAAAAGUACAAACAAAAAUUGGAUGUGUGCCUAUCAAAGAACUAUUAUUUCUACUUCAAAAUGGAUUCAAAAAAUGAAGGAAGUCGAAAAUCAAGAAGCAUUGUUAUCGAUACUAUGAAAGAACGAAAUGCGCAAAAAAGAAGCAUCAUAGAUGUUGAGGACGAUGAAGACAAAAAAGGAAAAAAAAAUUAAAAUAGAAAAAGAUUAAGCAAUACCAUUUGAUCUUUAGCCCAAAACAAUUAUUAUUUGUUGCAGCAAAUAUUCAUGGGUUUCUUCAAAUAAAUUUAAAUUUUAAACUUAUGUUACAAAUGUAGGAGAUUUAGAUAUUCUAUUUCAAAUAAUCUCUCUUUUAUUUCUAUAAA